UACGUAGGGGGCAAGCGUUAACCGGAUUUACUGGGUGUAAAGGGGGCGCAGACGGCGAUGCAAGCCAGGAGUGAAAGCCCGGGGCCCAACCCCGGGACUGCUCUUGGAACUGCGUGGCUGGAGUGCAGGAGGGGCAGGCGGAAUUCCUGGUGUAGCGGUGAAAUGCGUAGAUAUCAGGAGGAACACCGGUGGCGAAGGCGGCCUGCUGGACUGCAACUGACGUUGAGGCCCGAAAGCGUGGGGAGCAAACAGG
rnacentral:rRNA from 1 species